UACGGGGGGAGCAAGCGUUAUUCGGAAUUACUGGGCGUAAAGGGCGCGUAGGCGGCUUAGCAAGUGACGGGUGAAAUCCCCGGGCUUAACCUGGGAACUGCAUUUGUGACUGCAAGGCUGGAGUGCGGCAGAGGGGGAUGGAAUUCCGCGUGUAGCAGUGAAAUGCGUAGAUAUGCGGAGGAACACCGAUGGCGAAGGCAAUCCCCUGGGCCUGCACUGACGCUCAUGCACGAAAGCGUGGGGAGCAAACAGG
rnacentral:rRNA from 1 species